CUGGCUCAGGAUGAACGCUGGCGGCGUGCUUAACACAUGCAAGUCGAACGGAAACUACUCGCUGAAGCGAACUCGUUCAAUUCUUGAGUAGUUUUAGUGGCGGACGGGUGAGUAACGCGUGGGUAACCUGCCAUGUACUGGGGGACAACAGUUGGAAACGACUGCUAAUACCGCAUAAGCGCACAGGACCGCAUGGUCU
rnacentral:rRNA from 1 species